AGCCUGCUGAACGUUGCAGCUAGUCUUUAUCGACUACGUUAAUUAAUAGAACUAUGUUUGAUACGUUUCCUACUAUAAAAGGAUAUUACUGUCCUUUUCUUAAUUUUUAGAUGUUAUUUUAUUAUUAACAACUACUUUGCUUGCAGCCACACUGAGAAGUGUUGGGAAGAAUACUGAAAUCCUGAGUUUAGAACAGUUGGAAGGGUAUACUUUUCCCCCUGCCACCCCAUGAUAGGUGGAUAAAGUUUAUCAUAAGGAAGAAUUUGGUUAUUUGGUGUGUUUUUAUAAAAGCAAACUGAUAUUCUUGAGGGUAAAUCUUUGCAUGAUUACGUAUGGUGGAAGGCACUGAAACACAAACUUAUUUAGGUACUAUUAAAAGAAAAUAGUGUGGAGGGAGGUAGGGGAUUUUUAACCUAAUGUCCCUUGAUGUGGUAGCUUGUAACACACUUUCCAGGUUGUACAGACUGUCAGCUGCUUCUUGGGAGCUCACAGACAGGGGGGAGGCUGCCGGCUGGUUGUUGGCUGUUGAAGGGCCACAGCUCCUGUCCUGCUCCUGGCCGUGUGAUGGAGUGUCCACGGCUGGUGACUUAAGGCUGCUGCAGGUUUAAUGGAGGGGGAAGCAGACAGAUGCUUGUGAGUGCCCCAUGGCUGCAGCUGCCUCAGUUCAUUCAUUUAUUGCCAAUUGUAACUUGGAAGCAUUCUUUAGGUCAGUUCAUCUUCUGGGACCCAUCCCUGCCUUCUGGUUAAGGAAUCCAUGCACACAUACAGGAUGACUCAACAGUGGGAUGGAUGUUCCGAUACCAGAAAGGUGCUGGUAACUUGACAGGACUUUCCACAUUCUUUGG